GCCCUGAGGGGAGCCGCCCACAGCCAUCGUGCCAGGGCUCUCCCCGCCCCGAGGGGAGCUGCUAACUGCAGUAACACCACGCCGAACAGAGCUGCCUGGUGUCACCCUUGGAGCUGAGACAACAUCAGGUAAGACGCCAAAUGUGACAGGCUGCAGGUGAGAUCUUGGACCAGAAGUGAUGAGACACUGCGACAGGAGGAAGGAUCUGAAGAAGAGGAUUUGACAGUCUCCAGGACUAGCCUAAUGGCUUUCCUAGGGGAUUUGCAUUAUCCUCUAUCUUCCCCCAAAAUGAGUUACAUUAUUUGGAGCCUCAACAGGUUCCACUAGAAACAAAUGGAACUGGCAAAACAGCAAGAAAAAUGAAAACCUAAAAGUGUUGUCUAGGAGUGGUUUUUUACAUUACAUACACUUUUCUGAGUAGAAGCACACUUUAAAGUUUAUCUUUGUGGGACCACAAAGAAGCAGCUCUGUCAAAACCUCAAGUAUUUUUGUGAGAUGGUAAAUUCAAGAUGAUGCUGCCAAAAUCAGUAAAAGGAAUUUCAGUUUUAUGAUUUAUGCUUCUCACUUACGACACAAUUCUAUCCCACAGCAGCAGACAAGACUUAAAUGUACAUGUAUAUUAGCACCCAAGUAGUCUAUUCAGGAUGUUGUUUACCUUGCAU